GAUAACAAAAAAAUAUCAAAUACCUGUAAGGUGCUAUACUCUAUACAUCGGAGCAAGAUUUCUAAUCGAAAAGUUGUUUACAAACACGAAAAAAAUAAAGAAAUUAUACAUCAUAGUAAAAUCAAUAAACCCCUCGCUACGCUCCGAAUCUAAAAUCGUCACCAAUAGCUGCAAUAAGUGAUUGAAGUAAAUAAGUUAUAUAAUUUAUAUAAUAUUGGUAUAUGGCAUCAUUUCAUUUAAAUACAUACAUGUGUAUUAAAAUAUGUGCAGUAUAAUCUGCCUUAACGGAUUUUAAUGAAAAAAGGCGAGAUGUGUUUAAUUAAAUUAUAUUGUAUUUUCCCCGUGGACCUUGCCAAGAAUAGCCCCUGAAUAUAAAAUAGAUAUAUCCAAGUAUCUUAACCUGAAUAGGCUCUUUCUAUUAUGAAUGCAAAUAUAUUUCUUCCCAGUGACGGAUAAAAAUCUUAUAGUAAAACCAGAGAAAACCAGUGAAAAUCACCUAAGGGGCGCACUCUGCAGGUUUCCUUUUGGGAGCCUCUGAAACCCAAGUUAUAAUAUGACCGAUUGAUC